AUUGAACGCUGGCGGCAGGCUUAACACAUGCAAGUCGAACGAGUGGCGGACGGGUUAGUAAUGUAUGGGGAUCUGCCCGAUAGAGGGGGAUAACUACUGGAAACGGUGGCUAAUACCGCCUACUAUCGGAUGAACCCAAGUGGGAUUAGGUAGUUGGUGAGGUAAAGGCUCACCAAGCCGACGAUCUCUAGCUGGUCUGAGAGGAUGACCAGCCACACUGGGACUGAGACACGGCCCAGACUCCUACGGGAGGCAGCAGUGGGGAAUAUUGCGCAAUGGGGGCAACCCUGACGCAGCCAUGCCGCGUGAAUGAAGAAGGCCUUCGGGUUGUAAAGCUCUUUAGGUAGCGAGGCGUUAACUACAGAAGAAGCACCGGCUAACUCCGUGCCAGCAGCCGCGGUAAUUC
rnacentral:rRNA from 1 species